UACGUAGGGUGCGAGCGUUGUCCGGAAUUAUUGGGCGUAAAGAGCUCGUAGGCGGUUUGUUGCGUCGGCUGUGAAAUCCCGAGGCUCAACCUCGGGUCUGCAGUCGAUACGAGCAAACUAGAGUGUUGCAGGGGAGACUGGAAUUCCUGGUGUAGCGGUGAAAUGCGCAGAUAUCAGGAGGAACACCGAUGGCGAAGGCAGCCCCCUGGGCUGACACUGACGCUCAGGCACGAAAGCGUGGGGAGCAAACAGG
rnacentral:rRNA from 1 species